UACGAAGGGUGCAAACGUUGCUCGGAAUUAUUGGGCGUAAAGCGCACGUAGGCGGCAUUGCAAGUCGGAUGUGAAAUCCCUCGGCUUAACCAAGGAAGUGCAUCCGAAACUGCAGUGCUUGAGUACUUAAGAGGAUCGCGGAAUUCCCGGUGUAGAGGUGAAAUUCGUAGAUAUUCGGAAGAACACCAGUGGCGAAGGCGGCUCACUGGCCCGGUACUGACGCUGAGAUACGAAAGCGUGGGGAGCAAACAGG
rnacentral:rRNA from 1 species